rnacentral:misc_RNA from 1 species
AUUUAUAUUACGAAGAGUGAUGUUUAUUUUUUCAACAAUAAUAACUUGAUUUUCAUAAGAAAGACAAUAAAAUAUUUCACACAUCAAAAACAUUAUUUUCUCAUUGUUGACGUAUUAGAUAACCUUCCAUGUUCAAACCACUAAGUUACCCAUUGUAAAUGAGCCCUAUAAUAUAUUUUUGCAUGUUACAUUUUAUAUUAGAUAUCAAUGGUUCUGUACAGCUCAUGCCAGACUCUCCAAUUUUAUAUAUUUUUAUACUAUUGAUAAAGAUAAAUAAUAUGUGCUAGAACUAGAAGAAUAUGGAUACAAUUUUUCUUAGUUGUGUUCAUGGGUACAAUAAACUGAAUUUUAUUGUUGUCUUCAAGGGGCUAAGUUCCAAAAAACAUCGAGAAACAUGUAUUACAUUAAAUCUUGUGACAUUUUUGAUAUGUUUCAUAUUUUUAAAUAUCAUAAAAGUCCUUUGUGAACAUGUAAUGACAGUAACAGUAAUAACAGUUAUAGAAGUAACACUAAUGAUGAUACUAUGAGCAAUAAUAAUAACAAUUAAUAAUGCAGCAAUAGUGGAGGUAAUUAUAAUAGCAUUAAUAAUCAUAAUUAUAGCUAUAAUAGUAUAGUAAGAAUUGUAGAGUUUAAUAAUGAGUCAAAGAUCAACAGUAAUCAGUGAAACAGCAUUAGUAAUGAUGACUGCAGUAUAAUUGCAACUAUAAUUUAUUUCACAAACAUUUAGACACAAUCAUCAGAAAAAAACAAAUUA